AGGUGGCCGGUGGCGCGUUUCGUGCGUGUCGUCGGUGUCUAGCCAGCUCCUUACACGGCACGUAGCCCGACCGUGGUGUCGCGAAGCCUGCUUGUGGGYUUCACCGCCUCCUCUCGUAAAAAGACGCGCACUGGACAUGGCAGUGGCUCUUUAGGGUUGCUGGCGCACAGACUGACUCUGUGGCCAGCAGUCUGAAGUCCUCGAUGGCUGUGUGAGAUGCGUUGGAGGUCAGCGGUUUGCGGCGAGUAGAUCGGUCACCCAUCCGACCCGUCUUGAAACACGGACCAAGGAGUCUAACAUGUGUGCGAGUCAAUGGGUCUCGAAUAAGCCCAGAGGCGCAAUGAAAGCAAAGAUCGGACUCGAUUCCGGUUGAGUUGGGAUCCUCGAGCCUUCGAGCUCGGGGCGCACCAACGACCCGUCCUCUCCGAUUCAUCGGUUGGGCGGAGUCUGAGCAUACACGUUGGGACCCGA
rnacentral:rRNA from 1 species